GCUCUGCCCCCGACAUCGUGGUGAGAGGGGAACCUUCCUCAUAUCUGGGCGCUGGCCUCUCCGGGCUUGGGAGAGAGGAACUCAGUGAUCAUAGAGCUGGCCGAAUGCCGGGGUAGAGGGGACCGGAAGUUGUUUUUUUCGCCCCCGCCCAGCGGCCGGAUCGCAUCUCAGCUGGUUGGCUUUGGUUAGAGCUCCCGUCAGACUUUAGUUCGGCCCUAGGAUUUGGUAGCCCCGAAGUGUGGGCUCUCUCCAGUACCAGACUCAUUUCAGUACCAGCCUUUGGGAAGUCGUGUGAAUACCUCGGUCUCUUAGCCACAGGGAUAGAAUGGCGGCCUGACGGAGCCGCGGCGCCGGCGAAGUCGCUGAGGCGCGAGCUGGAACCCCCAGACCAGCUCAAACGGGAGCCAAAACUCGAAGCUUGGAAGAAUUAGCAGGAAAUGGCGGAUGAGGCGUUGUUUUUGCUUCUCCAUAACGAGAUGGUGUCUGGAGUGUACAAGUCCGCGGAGCAGGGGGAGGUGGAAAACGGACGAUGUAUUACUAAGCUGGAAAACAUGGGGUUUCGAGUGGGACAAGGAUUGAUAGAAAGGUGAGCAGGUUGGAUUUGAAAAUUUUCUUGCAGGUAGGUUAUAAACAAAGGUGAUCUAUUUCAAAAGAUUGCAUAAAACUUGGGAUAUUUUAAUUUUAAUUCCUGAAUGUUAUUCUCUUUACUUCAAAAAUUAAAAUUUCUUUUUAGAUCCAAUGCCAUUUAACUCAUUUAUUCAAAUUUUAUUUUAAUGUUUAAAGAAAAUAUAUAUUUUAUAUAUUUUAGACUUUCUUCCUGAAGCUAUUUUAGACUUUAUUCCUGAAGCUAUUGAAGCAACUAUCUAAAAUCUUACUGCAUUUUCAACUUAAGAUCUGCUAGGUUCUUUAACCUGCAUAGAAUUUUUAAGUACAUAGGUUUGAAAUAACUAUAGUCUAUGUUUAUGCGUGUAAUUAUCUUUGAACUUAUAAAUCAGUUCUUUUUAGUAUUUCUUUCUCACUACCUGAAUAGUUAAACUCGGAGUAUAUUUUAUAUAACAAUGUCAUGAUAAUGCUCAGCUCUUUGUUCUUUUGUGGUUUUUUGAUGUGCUAGAAUGCAUUGCACCUGAAAUUUUGGCUAUAAUGUUAGACUAAUUUGAGGCCUCAUAAUUUAUAUAACAUAAUGUGAAUCCAUUGAGAUAGGAUCAUGUUACCUGGUGCUUAUGACUUUAUUAGUGUUAAUAAAUGUUCAGCCAGGUGUGGUGGCUCAUGCCUGUAAUCCCAGCACUUUGUGAGGCCAAGGUGGGAGAAUCUCUUGAGCUCAGGAGUUUGAGACCAGCCAGGGUAACAAAGUGGAACCCUGUCUCUACAAAGAUAUACAGAUUAGCUGAGCAUGGUGACAUGUGCCUGUGGUCUCAGCUGCUAGGGAGGCUGAGGUGGGAGGAUAGCUUGAGCCUGGGAGGGAGGUAGACGUUGCAAUGAGCCGAGAUUAUGCUAUUGCACUCUAACCUGGGCGACAGAGCCAGAAUCUGUCUCAAAAAAAAAAUUAAAAUUAAAAAACCCAAUAAAUGUUCAGUGCUGUUCUGGCAUUUGGAAAUUAGUUAAUAAUUAGUCCCUCUUGCUUUUUUUGGAGGAGAAAUACUGUAUUACUUCUAGUUGAUCUUUUUAGGUUUACAAAAGAUACUGCAAGGUUCAAGGAUGAGUUAGAUAUCAUGAAGUUCAUUUGUAAAGAUUUUUGGACUACGGUAUUCAAGAAACAAAUCGACAAUCUAAGGACAAAUCAUCAGGGCAUCUAUGUACUUCAGGACAACAAAUUUCGCCUGCUUACUCAGAUGUCUGCAGGAAAACAGUAUUUAGAACAUGCAUCUAAGUAUUUAGCAUUUACGUGUGGCUUAAUCAGAGGUGGCUUAUCAAACUUGGGAAUAAAAAGUAUUGUAACAGCUGAAGUGUCUUCAAUGCCUGCUUGCAAAUUUCAGGUGAUGAUACAGAAGCUGUAGAACAUACUGAAAUGCAAGGCUUCAACAGUGUAAAGAGAUAAAUUAUUCAUGUAAAAGUAUUUCAAGUAGUGAUGAUUUAAUUACAUUGUUCGAUGUUUGUACAGGAGUAAGCAUGUAUUUUUAUCAAUUUAACACAGAUCAAAGGAGAUGAAGGGACAUUCUGCCAUGACAUACACUUAACCAAAACUAUUCAAAAUGAAAACCGGAUUUCAAAUAACCAGACACCAAGAUGCAGGGCCCUUAUUUUAAACCUUUUUAUUUGGUUAGAGUGAUAUGUAUUUAGCCAUAGAUGGAGAAACAAAGCUCAGGGUUUGUUGAAUUAGCAUGAGAGAAAAUUAUGUACCAACAGAAUUAUUUGUGAGAAGAAUGAACAAAUUUUGAUAAAGUAUGAAUUUGUUUUAUUUUAAAAAGCAAACAUACUAAAUUUUUUUUAUUUUAUUGCUUAUAAUUUAUUAAGAAUGUUUACACCUGUAUAAGGAUUUCAUAUAUACAUUGUAUGUGUGUAUAUAUAAAUACAUAUAUGACUGCCUAAAUUGUUUAUAAAUUUAAUUUUUCUUUAAUAGGUUUCAUUCCUUCAGAGCUCCAUUAAUGUAAUCAAAAUGAAAUAUAGAUUAGUUUAAAUGUGAAUUCAGUGACUCUAGGGCCAAAGAAUAUUAGGUAUGUUUGGAAAGAAUUUUUGUAUUUAUUCCUGUUACAGUUUUGACUUUCAACUUCUCUCCCCGUGCAUGGAAGUCCUGGUAAAGGAUCUAACAUCUUUAUUCCCUUCUUUCCUCUUCCAGCUGAGCAGAGUUGGAUAAUUGAAUUAGUCAUUCUGACAUUCUUUGGACCAUAUCAUCUUAGUGGUUUGGGGUCAGUGCUCAUCUGAUAUAUCUUUCUUACCACCUCUUCUACUUACUUUCUCUUACUUAAAUUAUCUGGCAUAAGCAGUUAUCUCCAGCUUUUGUUAGAAUCUUGCAUGUUGAUUACUAAAACUAUACUUUGUUUCCCAUUUAUUUAUUACCCUUUUGCAUGUAUUUGUGUGACAGGGAACUCUGCAGCAGGGGGUGACUGACACACCAAACAAGAUGUUUCACUGGGUACUCUGCCAUAGAAAUGGCAGAUUAAGAAGAUUGACUAUACCAAACAUUAUAUUAAAAACACAAAAUAAAAACUAUAAAAAUGUACUUUAGGACAUUAAAGAAAACUCAAGUUAGAAGCAUACCAUUUUCCUUUCAUGGAAGGGUACAGUAUUACAAAGAUAAUUUGUUUAACUUGAUUUAUUAAAUUCUAGUUAUGUGCCCUAUAAUGAUGUUUCAGUCAGUGACAGACCUCAUAUAUGGCAGUGGUUCCAUAAGAUUACAAUACUGUAUUUUUACUGUACCUUCUUUAUGUUUAGAUAUGCAAGUACUUACCAUUGUGUUACAGUGUCCUACAGUAUUCACUACAAUAAUAUGCUGUACAGGUUUGUAGCCUAGGAGCAAUAGGCCAUAGCUUAGGUGUAUAGUAGAUCAUACCAUCUAGGUUUGUGUAAGUACACUCUGUGAUUGUACAAUUUUAAAAUCUCCUAAUGAUGAUGCAUUUCUCAGAAUGUAUCCCCUUUGCUAAGCAAUGCAUGACUGCAAUCCUAAUUCUCACAUGUUUUGGGGAAAAAAUUUUAAUUUUGAAAAAAUUUAGGAAAGUUCCUACCAAAUAUACAUGUAUAAAGUUUAUUAAAAGUCAUAAUGACCCAGGAAUAGCUAAUGACACAGAAGUAGAUCAAAAUAGAACACAAUAGAGAACUUCAAAAUAAAACAGGUGUGAGAAUUGUGUGUGUGAAAAAGCUGGGUUCAAAUAAGUUGGUUUGUUAGACAUUCAUAUGCCUACCCAUCAGCCAUUUCGUUCUCCCUUCCUUGCUGACAAAGCCCCAUUUUUUUUUUCUUUUUUUUUGGCCUAAAACUCUGUAUGGCUGCCUUGUGCUAUAGAAUAGGGUGCUUCCCUAGCCUAGAGAGGGUGAGUGUUGAUUAGAUUCUGUGCCAAUCAUGGUAAUUGGCUUACUUGAUCAUUUGAUGGAAUCUAGGCUAACGAGACAAAGGAAGUCUGAAGGCUUUGAAUAAGAAAUUUUCUGUUGCUCUUAACAAUUGAUACAAGUUAGGGAUUUGCCAGCAUCCCUCUUCUGCUUCUCAGUGAAGAUAUGUGAUAUGGAUGUUUGAAGCUAAUCUGCAACAGCCUUCUGAUGGCCAUGAAAGGACAAGUAUGGAGAUGAAAGCUAUCACACUGAGAAUAGUGGGAUGUAGAUAGAAAGCACCUGAAUUGUGCUUCUGAAUUAACCAAUCCAGGAACUGCUUUACCUUUGGACUUUUUGUUAUGUGAGAUAUUCUUUAUAUUGUUCCAUUUGCUUUGGGUAUAUGUAUAUUGUUACUUGUAGCCAAAAAGAAACCUCUCUUAGUAGAAACAAAGGGAGAGUUAGGUUAUUCAAAAAUUAGUAUGGGACAAUUGAAUAUGCCUUUUUCUGCGGGAGUAGGUGGGGAGAAACUUAAAGGUUCACUUGUAAAACAAUAAAGUACUAAAGAAAAUGUGAUAA
rnacentral:lncRNA from 1 species